UACGGGAGGGUGCAAGCGUUAUCCGGAUUCACUGGGUUUAAAGGGAGCGUAGGUGGGUUGGUAAGUCAGUGGUGAAAUCCCCGAGCUUAACUUGGGAACUGCCAUUGAUACUAUUUGUCUUGAAUACUGUGGAGGUUAGCGGAAUAUGUCAUGUAGCGGUGAAAUGCUUAGAUAUGACAUAGAACAUCAAUUGCGAAGGCAGCUGGCUACACAAAUAUUGACACUGAUGCACGAAAGCGUGGGGAUCAAACAGG
rnacentral:rRNA from 1 species